GACGAACGCUGGCGGCGUGCCUAACACAUGCAAGUCGAACGAACAGACCAGGAUUUUGCUCGUCUGACGUUAGCGGCGGAGGGGAGAGUCACAUGUGGAUAACCUACCUAAAAGACUGGUAUAAUUACGGGAAACGGGCGCUAAUACGGGAUGAUAUAUUGCACCGCAUGGGUCAAUAGUGAGAUUCGGUUGUUGUGUAACUAAUAGCUGGAUCCGCGCCGGAUGAGUUGGUUGGUAAGGAAACGGCCUAGCAAGGCAACGAUGCGUAGCCGACCUAAGAGGGAGGUCGGGCACCUGGGAAGUGAGACAGGCUCCAGACACCUGGGGUAGGCAGCAGUAGGGAAUCGUCCGCAAGGGGGGAGAGGCUGACGGAGCGACGCCGCGGGAGUGAUGACGGUGUCAGGAUCGGAAAACUCUGUUAGUAGGGGAAAACAAAUGUUUUUUUAACUGGGCCGGUCUUGACGGUACCUGGUCAAGAAGCCACGGCUAACUACGUG
rnacentral:rRNA from 1 species